rnacentral:rRNA from 1 species
UACGAAGGGUGCAAGCGUUACUCGGAAUUACUGGGCGUAAAGCGUGCGUAGGCGGUCUGUUAAGUCCGUUGUGAAAGCCCUGGGCUCAACCUGGGAAUUGCAGUGGAUACUGGCGGGCUAGAGUGCGGUAGAGGAUGGUGGAAUUCCCGGUGUAGCGGUGAAAUGCGCAGAUAUCAGGAAGAACACCCGUGGCGAAAGCGGCUCUCUGGAACGGUACUGACGCUGAGACGCGAAAGCGUGGGGAGCGAACAGG